AAUUACGGGCAGGCGGAGCAGACCGCCCUUAAUUACCAUCACAUGGUUUCCACUCUCCAAAUUACCACUCUCAUGACACAAGCAAAAUUAUUCACCAAGACAUGGUAGGUCUAUGUUGAUUUACAAUUCUACCCCUACAUAUGUAUCAGACUGAAGCCCUAACUUUAUCAUAUCAACGUUUCCACCUCUCUCUAACUAUCCAGCUCUCUCGCAGCCUAAGAACCAGCUCCGGUGUCUCACCAAAUUUCUUCUCAAAAUCUCAAAUUAACCGAGGGAUCUUGGAGCAUUCUUCUCCUAGAGUCGAGUUCUAGCCUUUGAUCGCGUUGGAAAGCUCGGAGGAGGUGUUUUCGGGAGAGGUUUUGCCUGGAGAUUCUUGGGGUUUUAAUUUCAACCUUCGAGGUAGGGAUCUCCUGACUUCUUUACAUGUUUAAGUGUUAGUUUGAUGUACAAGAAUCAAGUUUGAUCAUUUAUUUUGAGUCUUGAAUGAAUCUGGUAUAUGCUGAAAAUUUCGUGGGUUCUGGAAAUCUGUCUUUUGGGAGCCCUUCUGCCAGGAAUCAAUUUUUGGUGUCUGAAUAACAGUUAAAGUACAUUUCAAUACAAAGAUUUCGGUACCAAGAUCAUGAAAAACCGAUAAUCACACAAUUAGUUAUGAAUUUUUGAAUACCGGCUGUUUCCUGGAUGCGCGAAUCUGUGUGUGGCUGUCUUCUUUUAAUUUUCUGGGCAUGAUGAACAUUUUGGGUGGCUUUGGGUCUUUUACAGGAGCUGCACAUUUAAGUUAAGAAGGGAUUGGCGUUGGAAUCAAGUGAUUUGGUUAAGUAUACAAUUUUUGGUGAAUUUCUAAAGCAGGGUUGGUCGACUAGGGCGAAAAUGGUUGCGAAUCUGUUUUUCCUUUGAUUGUUGGGUUAAUCUCCUCUCAUUUCUGAACCUGGAAUUUUUACUGAGCGUAGGAAUUGUAGUCGUGCAACUUUUGGCGUUGGUUCCAAUAUUUUUGGGUUUAAGAUGAAAGAGUUAUGAUUUUUCAAUCAAAUUUACUCGUUCCCGUCCUUAAAUUCACGUUGUUUAAUUGGAUAUAGUCUAAUGUGGAUAAUUAACUUUGCCAAUUUGACAUGUAGGGAAUUCUCUCCUCCUUUAUAUGUUUAUGAGUUGGUUUGAUGUGUUUAAGAAUGUUUAAACGUCCGUAUUUGUUGUUGGGAGAAAUCUGUUGAAACUAGAAAUCGUACGCUGAAACACAAGUCCUACCGAUACGAGUUUUGGCCCUACCGGAAGAAAUGUUGUCCAGUAGUGUCUAUUUUUUUGAAAUUCUGGUCUUUUACCGGUAAGAGGUUGUGUCCUACAGGUAGGGAAUGAAUAAUCUGCUUCAUUUUAAAAUUUCGGACGAUCAUAACUUUAUCUUCCGGAAUCCGUUUGGUGCAUAUUAUAUAUUAAAGUUGAUGUAUGGAAAAUCUACUUUCUAAUGGUGGUAGUCUUGUAAUCAAACUCUAAACCUAUAAGAAGUUAUAGUUAAAGUACGGUAGGUUGGUUGCUAGAAUUCAUACCGAUUUUGGAGGUUAUGUCGUAUUUGGAUAUUAAGGGUGAUUUGGUACACUCCUAAGUGUUCGAGGUAGAAACGUUAUAUGCAUUGGGCAUUCUUUGCCCUUAGAAUUAUUUGAGUGAGACACGAAUGUUCCUAGGUGCGUUUAACUAUUUGAAUGGUCUACCGAGCCUUAGGGUAGUAGGCUAGCACACUUGGGAAAAAGUUUGUCGACACCUAGAGAAAGUAGGAGGUUGAGUGGUUGAUUGUAUAUUAAAGUUGGAUCGGGAAUAUUUGAAUGACGAUGAUUGAUUAUAUUGAUGAAAUGAAAAUUUGAGUUACAACUAUUAAUUUCCUCUUGAACUAUAAAUCGGAAGGUGAAGUCGUCGUUUGUAGCUACUUGCAUGAAGUUGAGUUUCUGAUCAAUUAGUAAAUACUUGGUAGUAGAGUAAAUGGGUUGGUGACGAGAUUAACGAUAAGAAUUGUGGGAAAUGUGAUGUGAAACGGUUAGCUAAGGAUACAUAUACAAUAAGGAAUCCUGGAGCCAUGUUUGUCUUCAUUUGCCAUGUUGUUUUAGGUGGUGCUUGUUUGUUGAUGUAGUCUUUUGUUAUUUGAGAGGCAUUUCCUAGAGUGUUAUUUUUCUCCCAUUGGACUGCUCUUUUUUACAUAAGGGAUGCAAAAUUCUAGUUUUUUUUUUCUCAUUAUCUUCAGCUUUGAUCAAGUCGGAUUAAUCUUCAUGCUACUUGAGGCUUUACUUUUACAGAUUCAAGUAUUGAAGAAGAAGAUGGCAUUUUUGUGUAGAAUAUGAACUAUUUGAGGAUGUACACACAAAAGUCAGUCAGCUCCUGCAAUUUCUAUUUAUUUUUUGUGGCUCUUAUGGUUUGGUCAUUUAGUUGCACACUCCUUCAAUCAAGAUGUUGUUGCUUAUAUGGGAUCUUUAUUGUUUCUACUUUGGUCAUUAAGUUGGACAAGCUUUAUUCCAACCAGUAUUUGGGAAGUAAAUGAAAUGUUGUUAUCUUUUUCUAGCUAGUAGCUUGAGAAUCCACUCCCAUGCCCUAUAGUUUCGACAGAUGAGGAAACAGACACAUCGACUCAAAUGCUCAUACCAUGACAUAACUGUUGAUCCAAAUGACAAUGUUGGCCAUAUUGCAUAAAUUGACAUUGGCCAAUAUGUAACUCAUUUUACUUUCUUUGCUUUUAUCUUGGUGAUACCUUAUCAAUCUUUGGGCAUAUAAGCUUAUGAACUGCGAGUGUUGGCCUAGAUAGCUCUCUCGCAGUGUUGGCCAUUUUUUAUUAUUGCUUUGAAUAGUACAGUGCAUGCUUGUGUUCUUGCCAUGUUAUCUCAUAGUGUUGGCCAUUGUUAUUAUCUUCUUAUUUUUUUGAACGGUUAAUGUUAUGUACUAAGUCUUCUUUCUUGUAAUUUUAUAGGUCGAUUGGUUGAAAGAAAAGAUUGAUACUUCAUCCCUUAUGCCGAAGAUGGUGAUAUGAUAAUGUGCUAGUGUCGGUUGGGCAUUGUUCAAGCCUUUUCCUUGACGCAUAUUACUUCUUGCCGUCACGACUUGUAGUCCACUUUUGGGAUAUAUAUGUUUAAGGGUGGGCCUAGAGUCCAAUGAAUUUCCUUCAUUUUAAAGUUAACUUGUAUAGUACCUGAUGUUGAUGAAGUACAAUUUUAUUUUUGGUUUUGUAUGGAAUGGUGUGACUAUAUUUCUACUGAAUGGGUAUUAAUUAGAUUAUCCA